UACGGAGGGGGCAAGCGUUGUUCGGAAUUACUGGGCGUAAAGGGCGCGUAGGUGGCCUUCUAAGUUGAACGUGAAAUCCCUGGGCUCAACCCAGGAACUGCGUCCAAGACUGGGAGGCUUGAAUCCGGGAGAGGGAUGCGGAAUUCCAGGUGUAGCGGUGAAAUGCGCAGAUAUCAGGAGGAACACCGGUGGCGAAGGCGGGUCUCUGGGCCGAUACUGACGCUGAGGAGCGAAAGCAUGGGGAGCGAACAGG
rnacentral:rRNA from 1 species